GAGAGUUGGCGCACCUCCUCUUUGUGUUCAAUAAAGGGUCUCGAUGGUACUUUUCCGACUGCGCUUCUUCCACUGUCCCGCUGCGGUUCGAAACUGGACUUUUGUUGGAUCAUCGAACAGUGUGUUUCUCAUUCUUGCCGACUUGGGAUCCGUAAGUUGGAUUUCGUUUCGCGAGAAUGUGACAAAUUUUGGGGAGUGGGAGAUUGUUAAACAGAUCGAGUAAAGGUCUCCUUCUUGUUUUGCUUGCUUACAUCUUUGCAUCUUCAACGGAAGGCGUGAGCUUUGCCUAGGCUGGGUAGUGUUAUUAAACGCUUCUUGUGUUCUCCUGAUGAUGAUUUCUGAAAGGCUUUUCGCAUGAGGGAUGAGACAAAAGUGCUGCGUCACGAUGGGGGGGGAUGGUUCUAUAGAUGCGUGCAACUUCUAACAAAUCCCUUGUUUCGGUGAAGCACCAAGCGACAGGACACUUUAAUACAGUCUGCAAGCCCAAAGUGCCUUGGUGGACUCAGCUGCUUCAUUUGCUGCUGCAAAGUACAGAGGACCCUGUCGAUGUUGCAAAGCAUGUCAUGCGAGAAGCUAGUCUUAAGAGGGCUAUAUAAAGGCUUGGUUCGGAUCUUGGAACGCAAAGUUCCUGGUAAUAUUGCUGCCUUGUUCGGAGUAUACGAAGCCCUCAAGUGGUAUUUUGCAGGAAGUCGAGACACUUCAGGAUUCCUCUGAUCAUUGCUGGAGGCCUAGCUGGAGCAUCCUUCUAUCUAUCUACCCAACGUUGUAAAGAAGCAUGAUUCAGAUUGAUGAUUAUAAGAAUCCAAAGUACUUCAGAUUCUGACUUCAGAGGGAAUCAAGGACUUUUACAGAGGUUUUGGACCAGCAAUGGCUUGCAGUGUCCUAGUUAAUGCAGCCUCUUUCUUGGCAUAAGAUCUAGCGUU